UGGCGAGUAGCUCAGUCGGUAGAGCGGCGCACUGUUAAUGCGCAUGUCGUAGGUUCGAGACCUACCCCGCCAG
rnacentral:tRNA from 1 species